ensembl:snRNA U2 U2 spliceosomal RNA
CUUUAUUUUCAGCCUUUUGGCUAAGAUCUAGCAUCUGUUCUUAUCAGUUUAAUAUCUGAUAUGUCCUUUAUCCGAGGACAAUAUAUUAAAUGGAUUUUUGGAGCAGGGAGAGUCCGUCCACUCCGCACGUUGAACUGGUAUUGCAGCGUCCCCAGGAAUGGCGCACCCCCU